rnacentral:rRNA from 1 species
UUAAAAUAAGAGUUUGAUCCUGGCUCAGGACGAACGCUGGCGGCGUGCUUAACACAUGCAAGUCGAACGGAGUUAAUUGGCUUCGGCUGAUUAACUUAGUGGCGGACGGGUGAGUAACACGUGAGCAACCUGCCCAUAACAGGGGAAUAGCAGUUGGAAACGACUGAUAAUACCGCAUAAGACCACGGAACCGC